CCUACGGGAGACAGCAGUGAGGAAUAUUGGUCAUUGGGCGCGAGCCUGAACCAGCCAAGUCGCGUGAGGGAAGACGGCCCUACGGGUUGUAAACCUCUUUUGCCGGGGAGCAACGGGCGCCACGAGUGGCGCCACUGAGAGUACCCGGAGAAAAAGCAUCGGCUAACUCCGUGCCAGCAGCCGCGGUAAUACGGGGGAUGCGAGCGUUAUCCGGAUUUAUGGGGUUUAAAGGGUGCGUAGGCGGAGCGUUAAGUCAGUGGUAAAAUUGAGGGGCUAAACCCCUUCCCGCCAUUGAAACUGGCGCUCUUGAGUGGAAGAGAGGUAUGCGGAAUGCGUGGUGUAGCGGUGAAAUGCAUAGAUAUCACGCAGAACCCCGAUUGCGAAGGCAGCAUGCCGGCUUCCUACUGACGCUGAAGCACGAAAGCGUGGGGAUCGAACAGGAUUAGAUACCCUGGUAGUC
rnacentral:rRNA from 1 species